UACGGGGGGAGCAAGCGUUGUUCGGAUUUACUGGGCGUAAAGGGCGCGUAGGCGGCCACCGCAAGUCGACUGUGAAAUCUCCGGGCUUAACCCGGAAAGGUCAGCCGAUACUGCGGGGCUAGAGUGCAGAAGGGGGCAACUGGAAUUCUCGGUGUAGCGGUGAAAUGCGUAGAUAUCGAGAGGAACACCUGCGGCGAAGGCGGGUUGCUGGGCUGAUACUGACGCUGAGGCGCGAAAGCUAGGGUAGCAAACGGG
rnacentral:rRNA from 1 species